rnacentral:tRNA from 1 species
GUUAAUGUAGCUUAAACACAUUUAAAGCAAGGCACUGAAANUGCCUAGAUGAGUCGCCAGACUCCAUAAACA